rnacentral:rRNA from 1 species
ACGGAAGGCAGCAGUGAGGAAUAUUGGUCAAUGGGCGGAAGCCUGAACCAGCCAUGUCGCGUGAGGGAAGACGGCCCUACGGGUUGUAAACUUCUUCUGCGCGGGGGUAAUGACGGUGACGGGUCCCCGAUUGCAAGUACCGCGCGAAUAAGGAUCGGCUAACUCCGUGCCAGCAGCCGCGGUAAUACGGAGGAUCCGAGUGUUAUCCGGAUUUAUUGGGUUUAAAGGGUGCGCAGGCGGGAUGUCAAGUCAGUGGUGAAAUGGUGCGGCUCAACCGUAGCAUGGCCGUUGAAACUGGCGUCCUUGAGUGCGAAUGAGGUACGCGGAACGUGUCGUGUAGCGGUGAAAUGCAUAGAUAUGACACAGAACACCGAUUGCGAAGGCAGCGUACUGGGACGAGACUGACGCUGAGGCACGAAAGUGCGGGGAUCGAACAGGAUUAGAUACCCUGGUA